AGUCACUGACAUUAGAUACCCGUGUAGUCCAGGGUGUAAACGCUGCAGACUUGGCGUUGGAGGCCCUUUGGGGGCAUUCAGUGCCGGGGAGAAGUUGUUAAGUCUGCUACUUGGGAGUACGUCCGCAAGGAUGAAACUUAAAGGAAUUGGCGGGGGAGCACCGCAACGGGAGGAGCGUGCGGUUUAAUUGGAUUCAACACCGUAAACUCACCAGGGAAGACUGUUACAUGAAGGCCGAGAUGAAGACUCUGCUAGAUUUUCAG
rnacentral:rRNA from 1 species